rnacentral:misc_RNA from 1 species
UGCGUAAUUAGUGUGAAGGAAGAAUCAACAGCUACUGAGUUAGUCUGUACUGUUUGUUGACAGUACUUGUUCGCCCUUUUAAAGGAGACAGUGUUAAAUGAAGAUAGACCCAUGAUUGAUUGGGGCAGUGCAACAAUGAUUCACUCAAACAUGUCAAACUAGGUGCAAGUGCAUGAGCAACUGGGCUAUGAAGUGCAAUCUUUGCCUAGUUAGACGCACAUUUUCAUCAUCUGGAUCACACUCACUGACCUUCAAUCAUAGGUACAAGGUUAUUGGAGAUGGCCCAGGGACCACCUCUCCCUCACAGGUCAGAUAGUUUACCGGAUUAUCAGCUUACACCACCGAUUCCCCCGAAACCUAAGUUUGCCUCCGAGCCCCAGAGUGACAAAAAGUCUGGAAUUCUGAAGAAGAUGGCGACCAUGGAUCAACUUAACAUGGAGAUUUCUGUGAAUCAGGAAAUCGAGUCCAAAAACCACUACAGGAAUUGUUUCAAGACAUUUCAUGACUAUUACUUGAAAGGACAGCUAUGUGACAUAGAUAUCAAGGUGGGAGAGAAGACUUUCUCAUGUCAUCGAGUUAUUCUCUCCUCGGUCAGUAAUUAUUUUCGCACCAUGUUCAUGUCGGAGAUGACGGAGAGCAGACAAAGGGAGGUCACUAUUCAUGACAUAGACGAGAGCGCCAUGGAAAAAUUAGUGCAAUAUGCUUACACAGCUAAAGUCCAGCUCACCACUGAAAAUGUGCAGCCCAUUCUAUAUGCAGCUUCCAUUCUUCAGAUUGAAAUGGUUGCUAAAGCAUGCUGUGAAUUCAUGAAGAAGCACCUGCAUCCAACCAACUGCAUCGGUGUUCACAAUUUCGCACAUCAACAUAAUCGGAUAGAGUUAAUCAAAAUGGCCGACGAUUAUAUCCUUGAGAAUUUCUUGGAAGUGGUGGAUACAGAAGAGUUCAAAACCUUGCCCAUUGACCUCUUGGAGAAAUUGGUCUCAUCCCCUGAUCUGAAUGUAGAGAAUGAGAAUCAGAUUUACGAGGGUGUUAUGAAAUGGGUAAAGAUGGACACGGAAAAUCGCAAAUGUCAUCUAGGGAAACUGAUGUCAAAAAUCAAGCUGCCAUUGCUGAGCGCUGCCUACUUGUUGCAGACAGUGGCUACAGAGGAAUUGAUUCGUAAGGACUUGGAAUGUAGAGACUAUGUGGAUGAAGCAAAGGCCUAUCAGAUGUCCUUAGCUAGCCUGGUGUCCAAUGUUAGAAUAUCUGAAAACACAAGGCCUAGGAAGAGCUAUGCAGGUGUCCUGUUCUGUGUUGGGGGUAGGGGAGCUUCUGGCGACCCUUUCAAAAGUAUCGAGGUCUAUGACCCUCGCAGAAAUCGCUGGUUCCAGGUCAGUGAAAUGAACACCAGGCGGCGCCAUGUUGGAGUUUGCUGUUCUGGAGGUUUGUUGUAUGCUAUUGGGGGACAUGAUGGCACAAAACACCUGAAAAGUGGUGAAGUUUUUGAUCCAGCAUUGAACACUUGGAAAUCCUCAGUCAAACCCAUGUCCACACCCAGGAGAGGAAUUGCUCUGGCCUGUCUAGGAGCAGCGAUUUAUGCUGUAGGCGGACUAGAUGACUCCACAUGUUACAGCCUGGUGGAGAGAUACGACCCCUCUGUAGACCAGUGGACAAUGGUGGCCAACAUGAACAUCCCCCGGGGAGGGGUAGGAGUCACAGCACUGAAAGACAACAUUUAUGCUGUUGGUGGAAAUGAUGGAAUCUCGUCCUUGGAUAAAUGUGAAAAGUAUGAUCCACUCCUGAAUAAGUGGACCUUCAUAGCUCCCAUGAACCGCCACAGAGCGGGGGCUGGGGUGGCAGAAUUAGACGGCUACCUUUAUGUUGUCGGAGGGUUUGAUGACAGUUCUCCCCUGGACUCCUGUGAGAGAUACGACCCCCACACCAAUACCUGGACCUUUGUUACUGGGAUGUCUUGUUGUAGGGGAGGGGUCGGUGUUGCCUCCCUGGGGGGUCAGAUGUAUGCUGUGGGGGGUCAUGAUGGCUCCAAUUACCUGAGCUCUGUUGAAUCCUAUGAUCCCAUUGAGGAUAAAUGGAAGAAUGCCAACGAUAUAAGUCAGUGUAGAGCAGGGGCUGGACUAGCCUUCUGUUUUUGUCCCUCAGCCAAACUCCAGCCGACCCAACAAAGUGCAGCCUGCCAGUUACAGUGUUACUGACCGAAUACACAGCAACAAGCCAGCAACACACAACUCUGGUAAUCACAGUAACAGUCAGAACUACUAUAAUAUACACUGUAAGCACCAACUGGCCACUACACUCUGCAACAAAUUACAGCAACCCCUAUAUUACUGACAUUUGAUGGCAAACUGAUUACAGCAACCAUGAAUCCCAUGGAUUCACAGCAACAAUCUACAGCAACCAAAAACUUUUGACAGUUACUGUCAAUACUACCAGGUACAUGGAAUGGCAGCAACCAUCAACAACACUGACAUUCCAAUACUAAUGGCCGACAAAAGCAUAGCAACUAUAGCCUUGUUGGGUUUAUUUUUCUUAAAAAAUAAAAACUAGAGAAGGGCUAGUAAAAACUACUGCAGCAAAGUGCUUAUGAGAUGAAUUGUCACAAUUAGAAUACAGUGCCAGCAUAAAGAUAAUAAUUUUAUGUAAUUUAAUUACCUAGGUCAAAUAAAAAAAAUUACAUACUAGGUUUAUUUCAUCACAAUCACAAAUAUCCCAGGCCAUUGCAGUUAGUUCCAUUUGCAAACCUCUUGCCAUUGUAUGUCACUGUGAUUUAAUUAUAAUGCGAUACAUACUGUCAAAAGAAUAUUACAGAGGUUUUAAUUUACAAUAAAACUUCUCUUGAAAAAAAAACAAAAAAACAGUGUAUAGUAUAUUAUCAAUACAUAUAUUUUUUCAGUUUAGUGUUACACCUUUUCCUAGAACUCAGAAAAAAUUUCUCUCUUUCAUUAUUAGUCUGUGAGGAGAACACAUUUUAAGUCUGCCCCCUUGUCUCAUACCACGUGUACCAGAUACUCUUAAUUUUUUUUUUAUUAUAUAAAUAAGUCCCAGUUCAUUUACUUUCAUUGAAUAUUGAUGUUGCAUGCAUGAACACAAUAAUUCAUACCUGUUAGGAAUUCAUGAUUUUGAGUGAAUGAUGAGUACAUUGAAUGUUACUGUCACACAAUUAAUAGUACUGCAUGUGUGCUCAAUUUUCAGAAUGAUGUAUUUUUUGGUGGUGCCUGCAUGGUUUAAAAAAAAAGUAGAAUGACAUACAUGUACUGAAUGAUGAUUUUAUGGAUGGAAAUAAAUGGUUAAAGUGAAACCCUAUAUGAGAAUUUGAUUUUAUACUAUUCCAAACCAAGUAGUACAUGUAUACUGGGGUAUGUAAAUUUUUUUUGGCGUUAUGUAUCUGCCUUUUGUUCUAUUUAAAUCUUAGCCAAUUUUUAAGCUGUAUGUAGAUAUUAAGAUGAUUUAUUUUGUUUCUUCUUCAUUUUUUCCCUUUCCUUAGCUAGUAUAUGUAGUAUAAUUUAUGGGGUUUUUUGGUGUUAUUGUGUUUGUUUCAAAUUAAUACAACUUUUACACAAGCAAGUGCAAUAUAUGUUUUGAUUUUUUUACUAGGUAGACAUUGAGCUCUUUUAGGCAAUUUAUUAUUGCCACGUAUAUGUAUAUUUUGGCAUGUUCAAUAUACCUGGAUUAUUUUCUCCUUUUGGAAAGAGCUAUAUAUAAAAUGUUGUUGACUUUAAGACAUAUCUUCUUAUAUUACAUGUAAUAAGGAAGAAAGCUUUUUGUGGUACAUGCACAUAAAUUUCAAUUUAUAAUGUGGUGCUUGUUCUAAAAUGAAGUAUGUAUGUGUGUUGUUAUUUUAUUUUUUACAAACACUUGUAUUGCUCAAAUGUAAAAUACCUGGACUGUUAGGCAAGUUAUAUGCUGCAUAAUGCAAGCUGAACAGUUUUAUUUCAAUCUACAGACAAAAAUCUAAUUUCAUUUAAUUUUCAAAAUCUUGAAUUAUAAUAUUAAAAGGUAGAGUUGAACUAUAUAUUUUUAAUAAUGUCUAGAAGCUUAGGCAUCAAGUUCAUUCCAGUGUCUAUGUGUGCAGUAUACAGUUGUACAAUUGCCACUGCAAAUGAAGUAGCAGGGUCUCUGGCUGUAUGGAUUUUACAAUUUAAAAAUUCAUUGUGUUCUGUGCAAGUUUCUGUGUUCUUUAUUUACAAAACCACAUUUUAUACAAAAGAACUUUCAUUUGACGUAUGAAAGACAGCAUGUCGUACAUUGUACAGCUAUGUAUAUAAAUUUGAGUGCUAAUUUUUUAGAAACACCUGUAUGAUUCCAUAUACCUGGGGUAUUUUUUUUGGGGGGGGGGGGGGGAGGAGAUGUUCUUGAAUGAGAUGUACAUUACAGUUUCAAAUCCAUAUUAUUAUGUACUAAUCUAUUUUGAAAGAAAAGUACUUGUACAUCAGCCAUAUAUUUUUUUUUUGAUCAGUAAUAAAUCCUGUCUUUACAAUGGAUUAGUUCUGAAACAGUCCAUAUUCAACUUUUUGUUUGUUUUUUCUUAUAAAUUUUAUACAUGUAUGUUGUUAUUUUGAUGUCAAAACUCAAUAAAUGAAGAAAAGAAAGAGAAUUUUUCUUGCAUUGUUAAUAUGCAAUGUGCAUGUAUAUGUAUAUCUGGAAAAGACUACCCUGUCUAUGAUCCA